UNCGAGCGGACUUGAUGGGAGUGCUUGCACUCCUGAUGGUUAGCGGCGGCACGGGUGAGUAACACGUAGGGUAACCUGCCCAUAAGACUGGGUAUAACCCACGGAAACGUGAGCUAAUACCAGAUAGGCAUUUUCCUCGCAUGAGGGGAAUGAGAAAGGCGGAGCAAUCUGUCACUUAUGGAUGGACCUGCGGCGCAUUAGCUAGUUGGUGAGGUAACGGCUCACCAAGGCGACGAUGCGUAGCCGACCUGAGAGGGUGAUCGGCCACACUGGGACUGAGACACGGCCCAGACUCCUACGGGAGGCAGCAGUAGGGAAUCUUCCGCAAUGGACGAAAGUCUGACGGAGCAACGCCGCGUGAGUGAUGAAGGUUUUCGGAUCGUAAAGCUCUGUUGCCAGGGAAGAACGCCUAGGAGAGUAACUGCUCCUAGGGUGACGGUACCUGAGAAGAAAGCCCCGGCUAACUACGUGCCANCAGCCGCGGUAAUACGUAGGGGGCGAGCGUUGUCCGGAAUUAUUGGGCGUAAAGCGCGCGCAGGCGGCAAUGUAAGUUGGGUGUUUAAACCUAGGGCUCAACCUUGGGUCGCAUCCAAAACUGCA
rnacentral:rRNA from 1 species